rnacentral:lncRNA from 1 species
AAGAAAGAUUAAAAGAGCUGAACAGGAAGAGCUCCAGAAACGAUGUUCUUGGGGGGGAACUUGGGGACCAUCUACUUAUAUCGGAAGGUUGUAAACCGUCAGCGGGGCAAGAAUUAUUUUGGUGAGACUUAAGAAAUAUAACAAAGAGUAAUGAAAAGAAAUAUAUAACAAUAAUGGACUGUAAUUUUAUACCUAUUCCAUCCCAGGAAACCUCAAAACAUUUUAUGGCUUAGGAUAAUAGACGCAGUACAGUGGGGGUGCGUCCAGACUGCAAAGUGGCUGGUAAUUUUGCUAAAGCCCUUGCAAAAAUAAUAUUUAGUGAGAGGGUAAUGGGCACUUGGUGGGGAAAGAGUGGGGGUCUGGCUUGGCUCUGCAGCCGGCCCCCCUCCCAGGGGCAGUGGAGGUGGGGACGAGUCUUGUUUUGGUUAAGUCGGACCACUUAGAAAGCUUCCUGCUGCCAUGCUCAGAGGUACACACAAUUCAAACCCCAUUAAAAAAAAAAGGCAGAAGACUAGCAUGUAAGCCUUUUAUGGACAAGGACUUCGCUGUUCUAGUCACUCCUGCCUUACCUGCAGCAGCCAGAUCACUUCCUGGCCCCCCACAGCAGAGGCUCAGUAAACGUUACCUAAGUGAGUUUCCUCAAUGAGUCUUGAUUGUCUCAGAAUAAGGGAAACUUACAAAUUGCUUGUGUGCUUUAUGUCUGCAGCCUGUUUUUAAUCUCUUAGAAUUCUGAUCCUGUCAAUGGUCCUGUGGGAUCCACGAGUGGUCUUCUCCCUGGUUUACUGAUGGGGAAACUGAGGCACAACAUUAUAACCCGAGACCCCUUCACACCGCAGGAGGCCAGUUCAAACCCGGAGCUCCUGAGUUUUCAGACCGUUCUUGGGAGCCCUUGAGUAUCAUCUCCCGCCAGGGUCCAAGUUCUAUGUCUCUAAGCUCCCUGCCUCCCGCAUUGCAUGAACUUGGAGGAAGUCGUGAGGAGAUUAGAAAGAAACUCUUCACAUGGACUUGGUCUUCCAACGGUCUCAGAGUCUGCGUGGGGCUGAGACCCACACCCUAAUGUUCUCAAAGAGAGAAGUUCCUCCUCCAUUUGCACAGAGAUCCUGUGUGAUCUGCAUGUCACAAGUCACGGUCACUCGUCCACUUGGAACACGCCCAGGAAAGACAUAAAUCCGGGGAUGGGAAAUGCACGGUUCCUGCGGUGUUUGGAGUCAUGGGUGGAUUGAUGAUUCUAAUGGAGCACGACAUGUCCGAUUGGUUCCUGUGAAAAGGAUUCUUUUGAGGGUCUCUUCAUCAAGCCCUAAUUUGCGAAUGUGUAAGUUGAUCUAUAAGAUUUGACGGGCUUUUG